GACGAACGCUGGCGGCGUGCUUAACACAUGCAAGUCGAACGGUGAAGCGAGUGCUUGCACUCGUGGAUCAGUGGCGAACGGGUGAGUAACACGUGAGUAACCUGCCCAUCACUCUGGGAUAAGCACUGGAAACGGUGUCUAAUACUGGAUACGGCCAACCCUUGCAUGGGGUGUUGGUGGAAAGAUUUAUCGGUGAUGGAUGGACUCGCGGCCUAUCAGCUUGUUGGCGGGGUAAUGGCCCACCAAGGCGACGACGGGUAGCCGGCCUGAGAGGGUGACCGGCCACACUGGGACUGAGACACGGCCCAGACUCCUACGGGAGGCAGCAGUGGGGAAUAUUGCACAAUGGGCGAAAGCCUGAUGCAGCGACGCCGCGUGAGGGAUGACGGCCUUCGGGUUGUAAACCCCUUUCAGCAGGGAAGAAGCGAAAGUGACGGUACCUGCAGAAGAAGCACCGGCUAACUACGUG
rnacentral:rRNA from 1 species